rnacentral:rRNA from 1 species
GCGCCUGUGCUUUUCGGUACCCUAAGGCGGUACCAGAAUAAGGGCUGGGCAAGACCGGUGCCAGCCGCCGCGGUAAUACCGGCAGCCCAAGUGAUGGCCGAUCUUAUUGGGCCUAAAGCGUCCGUAGCUGGCCACGCAAGUCCAUCGGGAAAUCCACCUGCCCAACAGGUGGGCGCCCGGUAGAAACUGCAUGGCUUGGGACCGGAAGGCGCGACGGGUACGUCCGGGGUAGGAGUGAAAUCCCGUAAUCCUGGACGGACCGCCGAUGGCGAAAGCACGUCGCGAGAACGGAUCCGACAGUGAGGGACGAAAGCCAGGGUCUCGAACCGGAUUAGAUACCCGGGUAGUCCUGGCCGUAAACAAUGUCUGCUAGGUGUGGCUCCCACUACGAGUGGGUGCUGUGCCGCAGGGAAGCCGCUAAGCAGACCGCCUGGGAAGUACGUCCGCAAGGAUGAAACUUAAAGGAAUUGGCGGGGGGAGCACCACA